GGGGGUGAUGAUGAAUCGACACAAUAGGAAUUCCUCAUUCUGAAGAUAUAUAUGUUAGAUACUGUCAAAUUAAGUUUCAGCCUUGUCUGACC
rfam:Rhynchosporium commune strain TK7 genome assembly, contig: RCO7_scaffold004